rnacentral:rRNA from 1 species
UACGAAGGGAGCUAGCGUUACUCGGAAUCAUUGGGCGUAAAGCGUGCGUAGGCUGUCUUGUAAGUUAGGAGUGAAAUCCUGAGGCUCAACCUCAGAACUGCUCUUAAUACUGCUAGACUAGAAUAACAGAGGGGACAGUAGAAUUCCUAGUGUAGGGGUGAAAUCCGUAGAUAUUAGGAGGAAUACCAGUGGCGAAAGCGACUGUCUGGCUGAUUAUUGACGCUGUUGCACGAAAGCGUGGGGAGCAAACAGG